rnacentral:rRNA from 1 species
CCCUUAGAUGUUCUGGGCUGCACGCGCGCUACACUGAAGCGUUCAACGAGUAUUCACCUUGCCCGGGAGGGUUGGGUAAUCUUUUGAAAACGCUUCGUGAUGGGGAUAGAUUAUUGCAAUUAUUAAUCUUCAACGAGGAAUUCCUAGUAAGCGCGAGUCAUCAGCUCGUGCUGAUUACGUCCCUGCCCUUUGUACACACCGCCCGUCGCUCCUAGCGAUUGAGUGAUCCGGUGAAUAAUUCGGACUGCAGCACUGCUUGGUCUCCAGGCUUUGCAGCGGAAAGUUUAGUGAACCUUAUCACUUAGAGGAAGGAGAAGUCGUAACA